rnacentral:rRNA from 1 species
UACGGGGGGGGCAAGCGUUGUUCGGAAUUACUGGGCGUAAAGGGCGCGUAGGCGGCCUGCUAAGUCGGAUGUGAAAUCCCUCGGCUCAACCGAGGAACUGCAUCCGAUACUGGCGGGCUUGAAUCCGGGAGAGGGAUGUGGAAUUCCAGGUGUAGAGGUGAAAUUCGUAGAUAUGGGGAGGAACACCGGUGGCGAAGGCGGCCAUCUGGACGGCUAUUGACGCUGAUGCGCGAAAGCGUGGGGAGCAAACGGG